rnacentral:rRNA from 1 species
GAUGAACGCUGGCGGCGUGCCUAAUACAUGCAAGUCGAGCGAACGGACGAGGAGCUUGCUUCUUUCAUGUUAGCGGCGGACGGGUGAGUAACACGUGUAUAACCUACCUAUCAUACUGGGAUAACUUCGGGAAACCGUCGCUUAUACCGGAUAAUAUUUUGAACCGCAUGGUUCAAAAGUGAAAGACGGUCUUGCUGGCACUACUAGCUGCAUCCGCGCUGUAUUAGGUAGUUGGUAAGGUAACGGCUUAGCAAGGCAACGAUGCGUAGACGACCUGAGAGAGUGAUCGGCCACCCGAGAACGGAGACACGGUCCAUGGGCCUACGAUAGGCAGCAGUCGGGAAUCGUCCGCAGUGGUCGAAAGCAUGACGGAGCAACGGCGCGCGAGAGAUGAAGGUCUUCGGUUCGGAAAACUCUGUUAUUAGUGGAGAACCGAUGUGUAAUUAACCGUGCCGAGCUUGACGGUAACGGAUCAGAAAGCCACGGCUAACUACGUG